GGGUGCGUAGCUCAGUGGGAGAGCGCUUGACUCACAUUCAAGAGGCCGUGGGUUCGAAACCCUCCGCGCCCACCA
rnacentral:tRNA from 1 species